UACAGAGGUCUCAAGCGUUGUUCGGAUUCAUUGGGCGUAAAGGGUGCGUAGGCGGCGCAGUAAGUCGGGUGUGAAAUCUCGGAGCUUAACUCCGAAACUGCAUUCGAUACUGCCGUGCUUGAGGACUGGAGAGGAGACUGGAAUUUACGGUGUAGCGGUGAAAUGCGUAGAUAUCGUAAGGAAGACCAGUGGCGAAGGCGGGGCUCUGGACAGUUCCUGACGCUGAGGCACGAAGGUCAGGGGAGCAAACGGG
rnacentral:rRNA from 1 species